rnacentral:rRNA from 1 species
UACGUAGGGGGCAAGCGUUGUCCGGAUUUAUUGGGCGUAAAGAGCGUGUAGGCGGCUAAAUAGGUCCGUUGUGAAAACUCGAGGCUCAACCUCGAGAUGCCGAUGGAAACCAUUUGGCUAGAGUCCGGAAGAGGAGAGUGGAAUUCCCGGUGUAGCGGUGAAAUGCGCAGAUAUCGGGAAGAACACCCGUGGCUAAGGCGGCCACCUGGGCUGUACCUGACGCUCAAACACGAAAGCUAGGGGAGCGAACGGG